UAUAAAAGCUCUGGAUACUGGCAUAAGGGAAAAGCAACAAGCUGAUGGCCCCUGCAGUAUUGCUUUGCUGUUCUGUUAUCUCACCCUGACUACCAGUUAUGACAUCUUUGAGAAGGAGAUCAUGGGUGGAUGGAAUAAAGGAAGAGCACUAGAGAAAGCUGGAUGA
rnacentral:lncRNA from 1 species